UAUGUAGUUCCUUGACUCCGGAUGAAGAGGCCGACAGUCUUGUACCUAAGUCUCUUCUUCCGUUUAUUAAGCCGUUUUGCAGUCUGUCAGUGGACCUGUUAAAGGGGUCAUAUUAUGCCCUUUUAUGGGUUCAUAUAUUUAAUUUAUGUGCCUACUAAAGUACAUUCACGAUCGCUGAUGUCCGAAAAAUGUAUCUGUUUUCAUGUACUGCUCCUCCUUGCACCCUCUCCGCUCUGACACUGUUUGUAAAGCUCUGUUGUGCUCACACUGCAAGUUCCCACGUGGGCCAAGUCUGAUCUGAUUGGUUGGCCUGUCGGCUCUGUCGCAAUUGGUCAGUCGCUCGGCACAGUUCUAGGAAAUGUCACGCCCCUUUUACCAUAUUGGGAACACAGCGAGAGCAGAAAAAAAAAAAACGGUAAACAAGCAAAAAUGGCGGCGGUCAACUUUACCAAUCUGACAACGGAGAGGAGGAACAACCACCACAAUCGUGAGCAUUAGCACAACGUUUCAGUGUUGCAGGAGAAUGAAUCCGCUGCCUGUUUCUUGUAUCAAAAACAUCCAGGACUGUUUAAACUCAUAUACACUUCAAAACAUCCACAACAUCUUCAGAGGAGAACAUCACGGAGAACUGCAGAAGAGCUGUGCAGACACUUGGCAGCUCAUCGCAGCUUUGUGAGCCGGUGCUGGAGAUACCAUAACUAUGCAA